AGAGUUUGAUCAUGGCUCAGGGUGAACGCUGGCGGCGUGCUUGACACAUGCGAGUCGAACGGUAUGUGGCAACACAUAGAGUGGCGAACGGGUGAGUAACACGUGGGAACGUAUCUUUUGCAGGGGGAUAACUGACCGAAAGGACAGCUAAUACCGCAUAAGUCCGGGAGGAGAAAGGUGCAACAGCAUCGGCAGAAGAGCGGCCCGCGGUCCAUCAGCUAGUUGGUGAGGUAAGGGCUUACCAAGGCGACGACGGAUAGCCGGCGUGAGAGCGUGGCCGGCCACAAGGACACUGAGAUACGGGUCCUACUCCUACGGGAGGCAGCAGUGCGGAAUUUUAGAUAAUGGAGGGAACUCUGAUCUAGCGACGCCGCGUGCAGGAAGAAGGUCUUCGGAUUGUAAACUGCUGUGGUAAGGGAAAAAUGCUAUGUAGAGUGGAAAGCUACAUAGAGGGAUGGUACCUUACUAGAAAGCCCCGGCUAACUACGUGCCAGCAGCCGCGGUAAUACGUAGGGGGCGAGCGUUACCCGGAAUCACUGGGCGUAAAGGGAGCGUAGGUGGCCUAACAUGUCAACUGUGAAAACCCGGAGCUCAACUCCGGACUUGCAGUUGAAACUGGUAGGCUUGAGGACGGUAGAGGAAGACGGAACUGCCAGUGUAGGGGUAAAAUCCUUAGAUAUUGGCAGGAACGCCGGUGACGAAGGUGGUUUUCUGGGCCGGUUCUGACACUGAUGCUCGAAAGCCAGGGGAGCGAACGGGAUUAGAUACCCCGGUAGUCCUGGCCCUAAACGAUGUUCACUAGGUGUGGGGAGCGGAAAGCUCUCCGUGCUAAAGCUAACGCGAUAAGUGAACCGCCUGGGGAGUACGCCCGCAAGGGUGAAACUCAAAUGAAUUGACGG
rnacentral:rRNA from 1 species